GGGCCGGUAGCUCAGCUGGUCAGAGCAGCGGACUCAUAAUCCGUUCGACGUUGGUUCGAAUCCAACCCGGCCCA
rnacentral:tRNA from 1 species